CCCUUAGAUGUUCUGGGCCGCACGCGCGCUACACUGACGAAUGCAACGAGUUUAUAACCUUGGCCGAAAGGUCUGGGUAAUCUCCAAAUUUCGUCGUGAUGGGGAUAGAUUAUUGCAAUUAUUAAUCUUCAACGAGGAAUGCCUAGUAAGCGCAAGUCAUCAGCUUGCGUUGAUUACGUCCCUGCCCUUUGUACACACCGCCCGUCGCUCCUACCGAUUGAAUGGUCCGGUGAAGCGCUCGGACCGCGGCCUCUUGACGGUUUUCCGUCGAUUGGCUGUGGGAAGUUCGUUAAACCUUAUCAUUUAGAGGAAGGAGAAGUCGUAACA
rnacentral:rRNA from 1 species